UGCCCUUGACAUACUCGGAACUUUCCAGAGAUGGAUUGGUGCCUUCGGGAACCGGGAUACAGGUGGUGCAUGGCUGUCGUCAGCUCGUGUCGUGAGAUGUUGGGUUAAGUCCCGCAACGAGCGCAACCCUUGCCCUAUGUUGCCAGCGGGUAAUGCCGGGGACUCAUGGGGAACUGCCGGUGAUAAACCGGAGGAAGGUGGGGAUGACGUAUAGGAGCUCGAC
rnacentral:misc_RNA from 1 species